ensembl:miRNA
GCCAGUGCCCAGGCUCUGGCUCCGUGUCUUCACUCCCGUGUCUGUCCGAGGAGGGAGGGAGGGACGGGGGCUGUGCUGGGGCCGCUGGA